rnacentral:rRNA from 1 species
AGUGAACGCUGGCGGUAGGCCUAACACAUGCAAGUCGAACGGCAGCACAGUAAGAGCUUGCUCUUACGGGUGGCGAGUGGCGGACGGGUGAGGAAUACAUCGGAAUCUACUUUUUCGUGGGGGAUAACGUAGGGAAACUUACGCUAAUACCGCAUACGACCUACGGGUGAAAGCAGGGGAUCUUCGGACCUUGCGCGAUUGAAUGAGCCGAUGUCGGAUUAGCUAGUUGGCGGGGUAAGGGCCCACCAAGGCGACGAACCGUAGCUGGGCUGAGAGGAUGAUCAGCCACACUGGAACUGAGACACGGUCCAGACUCCUACGGGAGGCAGCAGUGGGAAAUAUUGGACAAUGGGCGCAAGCCUGAUCCGGCCAUACCGCGUGGGUGAAGAAGGCCUUCGGGUUGUAAAGCCCUUUUGUUGGGAAAGAAAAGCAGCAGGUUAAUACCCCGCUGUUCUGACGGUACCCAAAGAAUAAGCACCGGCUAACUUCGU